GAGCUGAUCCAUGUUCCUUUGAUGGAACUCUGCAUGAAUCGUGGGAUUUUGCACAGACUGUGCAUUAUCCACACCAUGCAAGACAGGCUGGCCCUAUCUACUUUGCGUUGCCAAGGGAACAGGAAAUCAUACGUUCUACAUGAUUGAUGAGGCAGAGCUGCCUGGAAAGGGUGCGGGCUGUGUCGUAAGCGUAGUGCACUAUUAUUUCAAGCACUAUGGUUAUGGAGAAGAAGAACGCACAGGCCUUCAUGAAUCCACCAGCAUCAGCAUCAACACCAUGCUAGCAGGCCACACAAAGUUUGCUCCUGACUGGCAUUUUGGUGUUUGGUUUGUCAAGUGAAGUGGAGGGCGAGUGAUGCAGAGAAAAUGCAAGACAUUGCUACAACCGUACGAUCAUCAUAACGGUCGGGUCACAACAUUCCCCAUCGCGUGUGUGACAUGGAGAGUCCGGUCAAAUUCUUUGAGUGGCGGUCACACCAUGAAGCCGAGUUCAGGAACAUAAAAAUCAUAACUUAAUACCACCAUUUCUUUGUUUCCAAAUAUGAUCCCGGUAUUUUGCAUUGUAAGGAGUAAGCUGACUCUACCAAGGAGUGUUUUGAUCUUUUGAAGUGUGCAAUAAAUAAGAAUGCCAUGCCUCCAAUUAAGACCAUUCCAGUGCUCCCGUCAGCAAGACAGUGGUACUUGUAUGAUCACAUAUCGAAAAUUUUCAGGUCUGAGUCAGCAAAAGAGAAAACAUGUCCCAAUCCUCUUAUUCCAAAGUA